GUUGUUGUUGUUGUUGUUGUUGUUGUUGUUGUUGUUGUUGUUGUUGUUGUUGUCUUUGUUGUUGUUGUUGUUGUUGUUGUUGUUGUUGUUGUUGUUGUUGUUGUUGUUGUUGUUGUUGUUGUUGUUGUUGUUGUUGUUGUUGUUGUUGUUGUUGUUGUUGUUGUUGUUGUUGCUGUUGUUGUUGUUGAUGUUGUUGUUAUUAUCAGUCCCCAAUUAGUUGUGUAAAUAAUAUCCAGUUGUUAUCCAGUUGUUGUUGUUAGUUGUUGUUGUUGUCAGUUGUCGUUGUCGUUGUCGUUGUCGUUGUCGUUGUCGUUGUCGUUGUCGUUGUCGUUGCCGUUGUCGUUGUCGUUGUCGUUGUCGUUGUCGUUGUCGUCGUCGUCGUCGUCGUCGUCGUCGUCGUCGUCGUUGUCGUUGUCGUUGUCGUUGUCGUUGUUGUUGUUGUUGUUGUUAUCAGUCCCCAAUUAUUUGUGUAAAUAAUAUCCCGUUAUGUUCAGUUGUUGUUGUUAUCCAGUUGUGUCCC